AUGGACGAUGACAUGAACAACAAACAAGCUCCUUCAAGAACUCAGGUUCGUUCCCGUUAUAUGAUUCCUCUUCUCUUCCUUUUCUGCGAUUUCGAAAUUUGUUCUGAGUUUCGGUUGAUUGCUAUUGAUGAGCGAGGUUGUUGUGAUGUCGCGGAUGAUGAUGAAGAGCGGAGUUGUGAAGAUUGCAAUAGAUUGAUGGAGAAGGUGUAA